rnacentral:rRNA from 1 species
UGUCCAGACUCCUACGGGAGGCAGCAGUGGGGAAUAUUGCGCAAUGGGCGAAAGCCUGACGCAGCGACGCCGCGUGAGGGAUGAAGGUUCUCGGAUCGUAAACCUCUGUCAGAAGGGAAGAAAUUAUAUCAUGCUAAUCAGUGGUGUAUUGACGGUACCUUCAAAGGAAGCACCGGCUAACUCCGUGCCAGCAGCCGCGGUAAUACGGAGGGUGCGAGCGUUAAUCGGAAUUACUGGGCGUAAAGCGCACGUAGGCUGUAUGACAAGUCAAGGGUGAAAUGCCACGGCUCAACCGUGGAACUGCCUUUGAAACUGUCAAACUGGAGUAUGUGAGAGGGCGGCGGAAUUCCUGGUGUAGGAGUGAAAUCCGUAGAUAUCAGGAGGAACACCGGCGGCGAAGGCGGCCUGCUGGACCGUGACUGACGUUGAGGCUCGAGAGCGUGGGGAGCAAACAGGAUUAGAUACCCGGGUAUC